GACCCGUCUUGAAACACGGACCAAGGAGUCUAACAUGUGUGCGAGUCACUCGGUCUUGUUUAGGCCAGAGAGGCGCAAUGAAAGUAAAGUUUGUUAAGUUACGAUCCCCAUGCGGUCACUCCCUGGUGGGUGACGGUGGGGCGCAGUAACGGCCCGCCAAUUUCGCCUAUUGACGAUCUGGCGGAGUCGUAGCAUACACGUUGGUACCCGAAAGAUGGUGAACUAUGCCUGGGCAAGACGAAGCCAGAGGAAACUCUGGUGGAGGUCUGUAGCGAUUCUGACGUGCAAAUCGAUCGUCAGACCUGGGUAUAGGGGCGAAAGACUAAUCGAACCAUCUAGUAGCUGGUUCCCUCUGAAGUUUCCCUCAGGAUAGCAGACACGCGGUGAGAUUCAGUCUCAUCCGGUAAAGCUAAUGAUUAGAGGCAUUGGGGUCGAAACGACCUCAACCUAUUCUCAAACUUUAAAUGGGUGAGAAGUAUGACUUGUUUGAUUAAAGCCAUACUCUCGGAUGUAUGCGUGCCUAGUGGGCCAUUUUUGGUAAGCAGAACUGGCGCUGUGGG
rnacentral:rRNA from 1 species